rnacentral:rRNA from 1 species
GAGUUUGAUCAUGGCUCAGAUUGAACGCUGGCGGCAUGCCUUACACAUGCAAGUCGAACGGCAGCACGGGAGCUUGCUCCUGGUGGCGAGUGGCGAACGGGUGAGUAAUGCAUCGGAACGUAUCCUGGAGUGGGGGAUAACGUAGCGAAAGUUACGCUAAUACCGCAUAUUCUGUGAGCAGGAAAGCGGGGGACCUUCGGGCCUCGCGCUCUUGGAGCGGCCGAUGUCGGAUUAGCUAGUUGGUGAGGUAAAGGCUCACCAAGGCGACGAUCCGUAGCAGGUCUGAGAGGAUGAUCUGCCACACUGGAACUGAGACACGGUCCAGACUCCUACGGGAGGCAGCAGUGGGGAAUUUUGGACAAUGGGGGCAACCCUGAUCCAGCCAUGCCGCGUGAGUGAAGAAGGCCUCGGUUGUAAGUA